rnacentral:tRNA from 1 species
AGGAAGUUAAUUCAUUUUAAUAUAGACUUGUCGAGUCUAAGAAGAGAUUUUCCUUUAUUUCCAG